rnacentral:rRNA from 1 species
AGAGUUUGAUCCUGGCUCAGGACGAACGCUGGCGGCGUGCUUAACACAUGCAAGUCGAGCGGUAAGGCCCCUUCGGGGGUACACGAGCGGCGAACGGGUGAGUAACACGUGAGCAAUCUGCCCUUCACACAGGGAUAACCUCGGGAAACCGAUGCUAAUACCUGAUACGACCACUUCAGGCAUCUGAUGGUGGUGGAAAGUUCUGGCGGUGAAGGAUGAGCUCGCGGCCUAUCAGCUUGUUGGUGGGGUAAUGGCCUACCAAGGCAACGACGGGUAGCCGGCCUGAGAGGGUGACCGGCCACACUGGGACUGAGACACGGCCCAGACUCCUACGGGAGGCAGCAGUGGGGAAUAUUGGACAAUGGGCGAAAGCCUGAUCCAGCAACGCCGCGUGAGGGAUGACGGCCUUCGGGUUGUAAACCUCUUUCAGCAGGGACGAAGCGCAAGUGACGGUACCUGCAGAAGAAGCACCGGCCAACUACGUGCCAGCAGCCGCGGUAAUACGUAGGGUGCGAGCGUUGUCCGGAAUUAUUGGGCGUAAAGGGCUCGUAGGCGGUUUGUCGCGUCGGGAGUGAAAACUCAGGGCUUAACCCUGAGCCUGCUUCCGAUACGGGCAGACUAGAGGUAUGCAGGGGAGAACGGAAUUCCUGGUGUAGCGGUGAAAUGCGCAGAUAUCAGGAGGAACACCGGUGGCGAAGGCGGUUCUCUGGGCAUUACCUGACGCUGAGGAGCGAAAGUGUGGGGAGCGAACAGGAUUAGAUACCCUGGUAGUCCACGCCGUAAACGAUGGGCACUAGGUGUAGGAGGUAUCGACCCCUUCUGUGCCGUAGUUAACACAAUAAGUGCCCCGCCUGGGGAGUACGGCCGCAAGGUUGAAACUCAAAUGAAUUGACGG